UAAUACGAAGGGGGCUAGCGUUGCUCGGAAUUACUGGGCGUAAAGGGAGCGUAGGCGGGUUAUCAAGUUGGAGGUGAAAGCCCAGGGCUCAACCUUGGAAUUGCCUUCAAAACUGAUAGCCUAGAGUAUGAUAGAGGUAAGUGGAACUCCGAGUGUAGAGGUGAAAUUCGUAGAUAUUCGGAAGAACACCAGUGGCGAAGGCGACUUACUGGAUCAUGACUGACGCUGAGGCUCGAAAGCGUGGGGAGCAAACAGGAUUAGAUACCCUGGUAGUCCACGCUGUAAACGAUGAUUGCUAGUUGUCAGCCGGCAUGCCGGUUGGUGACGCAGCUAACGCAUUAAGCAAUCCGCCUGGGGAGUACGGUCGCAAGAUUA
rnacentral:rRNA from 1 species